rnacentral:rRNA from 1 species
CCUACGGUGGGCAGCAGUGAGGAAUAUUGGUCAAUGGGCGAGAGCCUGAACCCGCCAAGUCGCGUGAGGGAAGACGGUCCUAUGUAUUGUAAACCUCUUUUGCCGGGGAGCAAAAAGCGGUACGUGUACCGCAUCGAGAGUACCCGGAGAAAAAGCAUCGGCUAACUCCGUGCCAGCAGCCGCGGUAAUACGGAGGAUGCGAGCGUUAUCCGGAUUUCUUGGGUUAAAAGGGUGCGUAGGCGGGCUUUUAAGUCAGCGGUAAAAAUUCGGGGCUCAACCCCGUCCGGCCGUUGAAACUGGGGGCCUUGAGUGGGCGAGAAGAAGGCGGAAUGCGUGGUGUAGCGGUGAAAUGCAUAGAUAUCACGCAGAACCCCGAUUGCGAAGGCAGCCUUCCGGCGCCCUACUGACGCUGAGGCACGAAAGUGCGGGGAUCGAACAGGAUUAGAUACCCCUGUAGUC